rnacentral:rRNA from 1 species
ACGGGUGAGUAACGCGUAUGCAACCUACCUUUAACUGGGGCAUAGCUCGAGGAAACUCGAAUUAAUACCCCAUAAUACAUUAUAAUAUCUCAUGAUAUAAAUGUUAAAGAUUUAUCGGUUAAAGAUGGGCAUGCGUCUGAUUAGUUUGUUGGUAAGGUAACGGCUUACCAAGACUACGAUCAGUAGGGGGUCUGAGAGGAUGAUCCCCCACACUGGUACUGAGACACGGACCAGACAUCUACGGAUGGCAGCAGUAAGGAAUAUUGGGCAAUGGGCGCAAGCCUGACCCAGCCAUGCCGCGUGCAGGAUGACGGCCCUAUGGGUUGUAAACUGCUUUUAUAUGGAAG